AGACCCGAAACCCGGUGAUCUAGCCAUGGGCAGGUUGAAGGUUGGGUAACACUAACUGGAGGACCGAACCGACUAAUGUUGAAAAAUUAGCGGAUGACCUGUGGCUGGGGGUGAAAGGCCAAUCAAACCGGGAGAUAGCUGGUUCUCCCCGAAAGCUAUUUAGGUAGCGCCUCGUGAAUUCAUCUCCGGGGGUAGAGCACUGUUUCGGCUAGGGGGCCAUCCCGGCUUACCAACCCGAUGCAAACUGCGAAUACCGGAGAAUGUUAUCACGGGAGACACACGGCGGGUGCUAACGUCCGUCGUGAAGAGGGAAACAACCCAGACCGCCAGCUAAGGUCCCAAAGUCAUGGUUAAGUGGGAAACGAUGUGGGAAGGCCCAGACAGCCAGGAUGUUGGCUUAGAAGCAGCCAUCAUUUAAAGAAAGCGUAAUAGCUCACUGGUCGAGUCGGCCUGCGCGGAAGAUGUAACGGGGCUAAACCAUGCACCGAAGCUGCGGCAGCGACACUGUGUGUUGUUGGGUAGGGGAGCGUUCUGUAAGCCUGUGAAGGUGUGUCGUGAGGCAUGCUGGAGGUAUCAGAAGUGCGAAUGCUGACAUAAGUAACGAUAAAGCGGGUGAAAAGCCCGCUCGCCGGAAGACCAAGGGUUCCUGUCCAACGUUAAUCGGGGCAG
rnacentral:rRNA from 1 species